rnacentral:rRNA from 1 species
UACGUAGGGGGCGAGCGUUGUCCGGAUUUAUUGGGCGUAAAGAGCUCGUAGGCGGCUUGGCAAGUCGGGUGUGAAACCUUCAGGCUCAACCUGGAGACGCCACUCGAUACUGCUAUGGCUAGAGUCCGGUAGGGGACCACGGAAUUCCUGGUGUAGCGGUGAAAUGCGCAGAUAUCAGGAGGAACACCGGUGGCGAAGGCGGUGGUCUGGGCCGGCACUGACGCUGAGGAGCGAAAGCGUGGGUAGCAAACAGG